GGAUGUUUUGGUGAAGUCGUAGUUAUGGAUGUUGUGUGUUAGUGACACAGACAGUCGACGUCACCAGGCGUUGCUGCGCACCUGGCGGUAAUCAACAGGUUAGCAUGUUGCUAAUGGUAUGGCGUAGUUUCGACGGGUAACUUUGUAAUACCGAGUUAUGGCGAAAUUAGCGGGUAGUGAGACAGUCACACAGCGGUAGAAAAAUGAAGCGGGUGAUUUAACGUGGAAUGGAUACGAAGAAUGUGUGAGACGAACGGUAAGAGGUUGAAGAAGCGACGUGUCGGACGAGACGUGGACUGAGUUGGAGCCACACAGCGGUACAAGGAGUAGGAAACAGCAGUAGUGGAUGGAGUCCUGGAUGUUGUAGGAGUGGCAGGGGGUGUGGAAAUGCCUUAAAAUGCAGGAUGAGGUCCUAAAACAUGCUGACAGGUGUCAGUCCCUCAGGCCGUCCGCGUUGUGGGCCGGACAUGGACGCAUGGGCUCAACCGUUCCGCUGCAUCACCCACAGGGUGGACCCCAGCACGCUCCGACCCUGCAGAGGACGUGGGUGGAGUUAAGGCCACGGGAGAGCGUGUUGAGCAGCAGCAGAAGCACGAGGAGACGCUCCCAGGAGAAGGAGGAGGGCGUGGUGUCAUGUGACCGGAAGACGGAUCAUCACUUGUGCGCCGUGUUUCACGAGUUUGCCUGGGGUUAAGGAUGUAAGGCCUUCUUCAAGAGGAGCAUCCAGGGACAAAACGGCCGGCCACCAAUCAGUGCAGUAUUGACAAAAAUCGCCGUAAGAGCUGCCAGGCCUGUCGCCUUCGAAAGUGCUGGAAUGAGCAAGUGUG